GACAGAGGGUGCAAACGUUGUUCGGAAUUACUGGGCGUAAAGCGUGUGUAGGCGGCCACGUAAGUCGGAUGUGAAAGCCCCAGGCUCAACCUGGGAAGUGCACUCGAUACUGCGUGGCUUGAGUAUCGGAGAGGUUGGUGGAAUUCUCGGUGUAGAGGUGAAAUUCGUAGAUAUCGAGAGGAACACCGGUGGCGAAGCGGAUCUCUGGGCCAUUACUGACGCUGGAGGAGCGAAA
rnacentral:rRNA from 1 species